GAUGAACGCUGGCGGCGUGCUUAACACAUGCAAGUCGAACGAAACACCUUAUUUGAUUUUCUUCGGAACUGAAGAUUUGGUGAUUGAGUGGCGGACGGGUGAGUAACGCGUGGGUAACCUGCCCUGUACAGGGGGAUAACAGUCAGAAAUGACUGCUAAUACCGCAUAAGACCACAGCACCGCAUGGUGCAGGGGUAAAAACUCCGGUGGUACAGGAUGGACCCGCGUCUGAUUAGCUGGUUGGUGAGGUAACGGCGCACCAAGGCGACGAUCAGUAGCCGGCUUGAGAGAGUGAACGGCCACAGUGGGACUGAGACACGGCCCAAACUCCUACGGGAGGCAGCAGUGGGGAAUAUUGCACAAUGGGGGAAACCCUGAUGCAGCGACGCCGCGUGAGUGAAGAAGUAUUGCGGUAUGUAAAGCUCUAUCAGCAGGGAAGAAAAUGACGGGACCUGACGAAGAAGCCCCGGCUAACUACGUG
rnacentral:rRNA from 1 species